UACGUAGGGUGCGAGCGUUAAUCGGAAUACUGGGCGUAAAGCGUGCGCAGGCGGUUCGUUAAGUCAGCUGUGAAAGCCCCGGGCUCAACCUGGGAACUGCGGUUGAAACUGGCGAACUAGAAUCUGGCAGAGGGGGGUGGAAUUCCACGUGUAGCAGGUGGAAAAUGCGUAGAGAUGUGGAGGAACACCGAUGGCGAAGGCAGCCCCCUGGGCUAAGAUUGACGGCGCUCAGGCACGAAAGCGUGGGGAGCAAACAGG
rnacentral:rRNA from 1 species